rnacentral:rRNA from 1 species
UAUGAAUAAGGAUCGGCUAACUCCGUGCCAGCAGCCGCGGUAAUACGGAGGAUCCGAGCGUUAUCCGGAUUUAUUGGGUUUAAAGGGAGCGUAGAUGGAUGUUUAAGUCAGUUGUGAAAGUUUGCGGCUCAACCGUAAAAUUGCAGUUGAUACUGGAUAUCUUGAGUGCAGUUGAGGCAGGCGGAAUUCGUGGUGUAGCGGUGAAAUGCUUAGAUAUCACGAAGAACUCCGAUUGCGAAGGCAGCCUGCUAAGCUGCAACUGACAUUGAGGCUCGAAAGUGUGGGUAUCAAACAGGAUUAGAUACCCUGGUAGUCCACACGGUAAACGAUGAAUACUCGCUGUUUGCGAUAUACGGCAAGCGGCCAAGCGAAAGCGUUAAGUAUUCCACCUGGGGAGUACGCCGGCAACGGUGAAACUCAAAGGAAUUGACGGGGGCCCGCACAAGCGGAGGAACAUGUGGUUUAAUUCGAUGAUACGCGAGGAACCUUACCCGGGCUUAAAUUGCAGAUGAAUUACGGUGAAAGCCGUAAGCCGCAAGGCAUCUGUGAAGGUGCUGCAUGGUUGUCGUCAGCUCGUGCCGUGAGGUGUCGGCUUAAGUGCCAUAACGAGCGCAACCCUUGUUGUCAGUUACUAACAGGUCAUGCUGAGGACUCUGACAAGACUGCCAUCGUAAGAUGUGAGGAAGGUGGGGAUGACGUCAAAUCAGCACGGCCCUUACGUCCGGGGCUACACACGUGUUACAAUGGGGGGUACAGAGGGCCGCUACCACGCGAGUGGAUGCCAAUCCCAAAAACCUCUCUCAGUUCGGACUGGAGUCUGCAACCCGACUCCACGAAGCUGGAUUCGCUAGUAAUCGCGCAUCAGCCACGGCGCGGUGAAUACGUUCCCGGGCCUUGUACACACCGCCCGUCAAGCCAUGGGAGCCGGGGGUACCUGAAGUGCGUAACCGCGAGGAGCGCCCUAGGGUAAAACUGGUGACUGGGGCUAAGUCGUAACAAGGUAGCCGUACCGGAAGGUGCGGCUG